rnacentral:rRNA from 1 species
UACAGAGGGUGCGAGCGUUGUCCGGAAUCACUGGGCGUAAAGGGCGCGUAGGCGGCCUGGCAAGUCUGUGGUGAAAGCUCGUGGCUCAACUGCGAGUCGGCCAUAGAUACUGCGAGGCUCGAGUCGACUAGAGGCAGAUGGAAUUCCGGGUGUAGCGGUGGAAUGCGUAGAGAUCCGGAAGAACACCGGUGGCGAAGGCGGUCUGCUGGGGUCGAACUGGACGCUGAUGCGCGACAGCG